UAAGAGCCUACCAAGCCUAAGAUCCUUAGCUGUUCUGAGAGGUUGAACAGCCACACUGGGACUGAGACAAGGCCCAGGCUCCAUUUGGCGCCAGCAGUGAGGAAUCUUGGACAAUGAGCGAAAGCUUGAUCCAGCAAUACUACAUGAGUGACGAAGGCUUUCAAGUUGUAACAUCCUUUGGUUGAGGUUGAUUAUGACAGUACUCAACAACAUAGCCCCGGCUAACUUCGUGCCAGCAGCCGCGGUAAGACGAAGGGGGCGAGCGUUAUCCGGAAUGACUGGGCGUAAAGGGUCCGUAGGCAGCAUUUUUUGUCGGAAGUUAACUAAAAAAGCUUAACUUUUUUCCGCUUCUAAAACGUAAAUGCUUUGAGUUUGAUAGAAGAUAGCAGAAUUUCACAAGGAGGGGUGAUAUCCAGAGAUCUGUGAAGGAAUAUCAGAUGCGAAGGCGGCUAUCUAGAUCAACACUGACGUUGAGGGACGAAAGCAUGGGGAGCAAACAGGAUUAGAUACCCUGGUAGUCCAUGCCCUAAAAGAUGAGUGCUCGUGCUUAGAGAACUUUAGGCACUUAGUUAACACGUUAAACACUCCGCCUGGGGAGUACGAUCGCAAGGUUGGAACUCAAAGGAAUUGACGGGGGCCUAUACAAGUGGUGGAGCAUGUGGUUUAAUGCGAUAAUACGCGCGAAACCUUACCAGUUCUUGACAUAAAAAAGAAAAAGUUUGAAAAAGCAAUUUUAAAGAUUUUUACAGGUGCUGCAUGGCUGUCGUAAGCUCGUGUCGUGAGAUGUUAGGUUAACUCCUUUUAACGGGCGAAACCCCUUUUUUUCGUUGCUACUUAAUUUUAUUUUUAAAGCACUCUAAAAAAACUGCUCCCUUUUUUUAAUUCGGAGAGGAAGGUGGGGAUGACGUCAAGUCCUUAUGGCCCUUAUGAACUGGGCUACACACGUGCUACAAUGGUAAAGACAAUAAGAAGUGAUAGGGUAACCUAAAACCAAUCUUUAAACUUUAUCAAAGUUCGGAUUGUGGACUGCAACUCGUCCAUAUGAAGGUGGAAUCACUAGUAAUCGCACAUCAGCAUGUUGCGGUGAAUUUGUACCUAGGCCUUGUACACACCGCCCGUCACGUGCCGGGAGUUGGC
rnacentral:rRNA from 1 species